GCCGGGCACCGUGGCGCACGCCUGUAAUCCCAGUGGCUCAGGAGGCUGAGACAGGAGGAUGGCGAGUUCAGAGCCAGUCUCAGCAAUGUUGAGGUGCUAAGCAAUUCAGUGAGACCCUGUCUCUA
rnacentral:sRNA from 1 species